rnacentral:rRNA from 1 species
UACGUAGGUGGCAAGCGUUGUCCGGAAUUAUUGGGCGUAAAGCGCGCGCAGGCGGUCCUUUAAGUCUGAUGUGAAAGCCCACGGCUCAACCGUGGAGGGUCAUUGGAAACUGGGGGACUUGAGUGCAGAAGAGGAAAGCGGAAUUCCACGUGUAGCGGUGAAAUGCGUAGAGAUGUGGAGGAACACCAGUGGCGAAGGCGGCUUUCUGGUCUGUAACUGACGCUGAGGCGCGAAAGCGUGGGGAGCAAACGGGAUUAGAAACCCCCGUAGUCC